UAGCCCAAAGGUCCAAAGUC
rnacentral:misc_RNA from 1 species